GAGUUUGAUCCUGGCUCAGCAUGAACGCUGGCGGCGUGCCUAAUACAUGCAAGUUGAGCGAGCUUGCCUAGAUGAUUUUAGUGCUUGCACUAAAUGAAACUAGAUACAAGCGAGCGGCGGACGGGUGAGUAACACGUGGGUAACCUGCCCAAGAGACUGGGAUAACACCUGGAAACAGAUGCUAAUACCGGAUAACAACACUAGACGCAUGUCUAGAGUUUGAAAGAUGGUUCUGCUAUCACUCUUGGAUGGACCUGCGGUGCAUUAGCUAGUUGGUAAGGUAACGGCUUACCAAGGCAAUGAUGCAUAGCCGAGUUGAGAGACUGAUCGGCCACAUUGGGACUGAGACACGGCCCAAACUCCUACGGGAGGCAGCAGUAGGGAAUCUUCCACAAUGGACGAAAGUCUGAUGGAGCAACGCCGCGUGAGUGAAGAAGGGUUUCGGCUCGUAAAGCUCUGUUGGUAGUGAAGAAAGAUAGAGGUAGUAACUGGCCUUUAUUUGACGGUAAUUACUUAGAAAGUCACGGCUAACUACGUGCCAGCAGCCGCGGUAAUACGUAGGUGGCAAGCGUUGUCCGGAUUUAUUGGGCGUAAAGCGAGUGCAGGCGGUUCAAUAAGUCUGAUGUGAAAGCCUUCGGCUCAACCGGAGAAUUGCAUCAGAAACUGUUGAACUUGAGUGCAGAAGAGGAGAGUGGAACUCCAUGUGUAGCGGUGAAAUGCGUAGA
rnacentral:rRNA from 1 species